UGUCACCUCGAAACUGAAAAACAUAAAACAGAAACUGCAUGCUCCGAUCCUCAAGCCAACAUCAUACAUUACGUGUUAGGACCUCCUCCAUAUGACUGAAACACCCAUAAAGCUCCUUUAAACUCAGCUACUGCAGCUUAGUACAACAAUCAGAACACACAAAAAAAACCCAGCUAGCAAACAUGAACUAGCAGACCCAGACAAGUCGGAACUACAGUUGAAACUGUUUGAUCAAGAUCUAACAUCUAUACCCCAAUGUCCUUCAAUACAAGAAGAAAAACCAAUAAAUCUCUAUUAAGACACUUCGAAACUCAAACGUUAUGAAAUUUGUGGUUUACCGUACGAAGGGUUUGGGGAUCCUCUGCAAUAGUCGCAAUUACUGAUAGUAAACCGACUCCUCCUUGGGCCAUAAUCAUCUCUUGGUUGGUUUCUGAAGUGACAAGAAAAGAGAAACUUAAUAGCACAAAAAUGAAAAAAUAGUGGAAGAAUGCCAGAAAAAGAGUUAGCUAAACUCAACAUUCAUUGUCAAAUUUGCAAUAGCACUAGCAGCAACUCGAUGUAUGGUCUCAUUCUGAGAGCUUCUAAGAAGAUUCAACAAGGAAGUGGUCAAGCUCAUCUAAUACAGUUGCAGUUAAUGAAUACCAUCCAACACACAUAGACAAUGUCAGGUAUGUACAAUAUACCUCGAAUAAAAAGGAGAAAAAGAAAAGAAUAAGACAGUUCAUGAACAUAAUCAAUCAAGAAUCAAUAAAAAAAAAAAAAAGGAAAUACUUGUUCUUUGUAGCUUUAGUGAUUGUAGCAGUAUUCAGUUGAUUCACUCAAUAAUUUUAGAACAUAAUCAAAAACAUUGUUUACCCAUAAACGAAGCUGAUGAUUAAAAGUAAAUCUAACAAAAUAAACUGAAAACUAGGAGGAAUAUAUUUACAGAUAUUUGUUGAAUUUAUUAGCAGCACCAGGUUGUUACUUAUUUGUUGUAUUGCUAGUCUGCAACAAUUACAUUAUAAUCAGUCAGUUGUACAAGUAAAGAAGUGAUCAACAUCAUCUCAUCACUCACUAAAUCAAGUAGAAACCAACUUCUUACCUAUGAUAUAGUGUUUAAUUGAACCAAAUCUGCAGAAAACAGAUAAUCUUCUCACAUUUAAUCCCAUAAAACCAUAAAGUCAACAAAUACAUAACAAUCAGGCAAAAGAAAAAAUUACCAAAGCAAUUCAGAUUCUAGCCUGCAUCAGUUAGGGUUAUUUUAGAGCAAUUUGACCGAAUUUCAACAUAAACCCAAAGCUAAUUGAUUUAAUCCAUCAGUCCACAAAAGCAGGCCCGGCCAUUGGGCGGUCUGGUCGGAUACACGGCACCGGGCCCAAAAUUUAGGGGGGCCCAAAUUCUUUUUCGCCAGUUGCAUUAAAACUUUAAAAAAAUAAAAAAUAAAAAAUUAAAGCAUCUUCUUCCCUUCCCUUCCCUUCCCCGUGAGUUCAGUCAAACAUGCAAACCCCAACUUCCUAAAAUAACUCUUCAAAUUCUUAUUCUCUCUCCUUCUCAUGAUUUGAUUUCCAAAAAAUAGUCAAUUAAUUCUCUUAAUUCCCUUAAUUAUCUCUCCUAAAAAUACUCUAAUUGACUGAAUUCUUCUCCUACCUUCUCUGCAAUUAUGAAAAAAGUACCGUUCAUCCUUGUUUUCCUCUCUAUCAAUUCAUUCUCUGAAAUUACCCAUCUAAAUUCAUGGUAUUCAACGGAUAAAUUUCAUUUAUUUAUAUAUGUAUCAAGAAAAUCUCUUAAAUAUCAAUAUCUACUUCGAAUUAUUUUCAAUUCAAAUAGCCCUUCAUUCCUUCAAUAACGAUGCAGUUGGACCUGAGGCUCUGAACUAUAAGUCUAUAAUCAGAGGGGAAAUCGGGAGUUGCAGUUCGUUAUUGGAAGGCCGGAAGCAAUCAAUUUCUUCUCUUUCUUCGUUUGACAAGCAUUCAAUCCAGGUUGUAUCUAUCUUUCUCAAUGAUUUUAUUGCUAUAAUUUUUAUGUAUUUUUGAAUUGUUGUUUGAUUGUUCAAUAACUUGGUUAAUUAGUUUGUCUUUGGUUUUGUUGCCUUAGAUUCUGGUUUGCUCAGGCCAAUCUGUUGUUGUUGUUGUGUAGGCCAGUUGUUGUUCAGGCCUCUUGUUCAGAUGUGUUCCUGCUGUGCAAGCUUACUGCAGUCUGCAGGUCUGCUUGACUGGUGUAGCGGUGUACAGGCUGUCUGACUGAGUGACUGAUGCAGCUGGUGCAUUGUAUCUAUGUUGUUGCAGUGUGUAUUUGUUGAUGGUGUGUUGUUGUUGUGCUCUACUACUGCAGUGUUGCUUGCUCUGUUGCGUGCUUGUGCUCUUAUCGUAGUUAAUUUGUUGAUGGUGUAGUGGUGUACAGGCUGCCUGACUGCAGUGACCGGUGCAGCUCCUGCAUUGUAUCUUAUGUGAUUUUUGUUUGGGAUGCGGGUUCGUGCUCCCUUAGCGGUUUUUUCUGUUUGAAUGUUGUUUAGUUUUUACCUUUUGGUAAUAAAAAUUAUCUUAUUUACCAAAAAAAUAAAUAAAUAAUAGGUUUAUAGUUAAUAAUUCCCCUCAAAUUGUUUUUAGGGGCCUCAUAUGAGCUUCAUUGAUAAGCUUAGCACAGGGCCACCAAAU